UAACACCUACGGGGGGCAGCAGGGAAUUUUCGUCAAUGGGCGCAAGCCUGAACGAGCAAUGCCGCGUGAACGAGGAAGGUCUUCGGAUCGUAAAGUUCUGUUGAAGGGGAAAAAGAGCGGAGAGAGGAAAUGCUUUCUGAUUGAUAUUGCCCUUCGAGGAAGUCACGGCUAACUACGUGCCAGCAGCCGCGGUAAUACGUAGGUGGCGAGCGUUAUCCGGAAUGAUUGGGCGUAAAGGGUGCGUAGGCGGCCUGCUAAGUCUGGAGUGAAAGGUACCGGCUCAACCGGUACAGGCUCUGGAAACU
rnacentral:rRNA from 1 species